GGAUCAAUGAUGAGAACUCAUAUUGUCUUGAAGAGAGAUGAUGACUUAAAAAAGACAGAGAAAGAGAACAUGUGAAGCAUCU